rnacentral:tRNA from 1 species
GCCGAAGUGGCGGAAUGGCAGACGCGCACGACUCAAAAUCGUGUACUCGUAAGGGUGUGAGGGUUCAAGUCCCUCCUUCGGCA